AUGGCAGAGAUUUGCAAUCUUCCUGCUGCCAAUGUAGUGUCAUCUCAGGGAAGUUCAUAUGUGAUCAAGAUAGACGAAUACUCCAGAAUCAAGGGGCAAAGCGAGCGUGGAAAAUAUGUGAAAUCGACCCCUUUCAGUGUUGGAGGUCACGAUUGGGUUGUGUGGUAUUUCCCAAACGAACCAGUGGGUUCAUAUAACAAGACCGCCGAACAUAUCUUCCCUAGCAAAGGUUCAGAUUGGGGUUUCUCUAACUUUAUCAAGAAGGCAAAUGAGGGAUCAAUGUAUCUAAGGAAAGACAGUCUCAGAAUCAUGUGCGAUGUUACUGUCGUGAAGUAUGGCCACAAGGCUAAUCGGCUUAGCUUGGUUCCUCCAAGCAACUUGCAUCAACAUCUCGGUGAGCUCCUAAAGAGUAGGGAUGGAGCGGAUGUGACCUUUCAUGUUGGCGGGGAGAGUUUCUUGGCUCAUAGGGCCGUGCUCGCCGCUCGAUCAUCUGUCUUCAAAGCGGAGCUCUUCGGUGCUAUGAAGGAGGACGCCGAUCGCCCAACUGAAAUCAGUGAUAUGGAACCUGAUAUGACCAAUGGUGGUAAAGCACGAAGAGAUGCGGUCAUGGCUGGCCAUCUACUUGUUGUAGCUGACAGGUAUUACAUUGAGAGGCUGAAGGUGUUUUGUGAAGAGAAGUUAUGCAAGCUCCUCCAGCACAAGUCCCGCAGACUCAAGGAAGCUUGCUUUCAGUUCCUCGCUUCUCUUUCCAAUUUGAAGGCGAUGAUGGCAAGUGAUGGUUACGAGCAUCUGAAGAAUAGUUGCCCAUCUGUUCUCAAAGAGCUGGCUGUUAGCUUCCUACCUGCUGAGCUGAAAGCAGUCAAAGAUCAUUGCAUCUUAUCUAUUUUAGUAUCCAUAUCUUCUACCAUAGCAACUGCAAAAGUGCCUAUCUCUUAUUUUUUUUGUAAUAUAGAAGAGAUUUUUCCUGAUUUUUUUAUAUAA
rnacentral:rRNA from 1 species